rnacentral:antisense_RNA from 1 species
AGCCCAGCACAGCACAGAUUUACAAAAUGAUACACAAAGACCUCAGAGAGUCUUGCUUUGUUGUCCAGGCUGGAAUGCAGUGGCUCAAUUUUGGUUCACUGCAACCUGCACCUCCCAGAUUCAAGUGAUUCUCCUGCUUCAGCCUCCCGAGUAGCUGGGAUUACAGUGGUACAUCCUGUAGUUGAGGGCUUCUUACACCUGAUGAAAUACCAUAGGUUCUGCAUGUCAGAUGGAGUCUCACUCUGUCACCCAGGCUGCAGUCCAGUAGCAUGAUCCCGGCUCACUACAACCUCUGCUUCCUGGGUUCAAGCAAUUCUCCUGCUUGUGAUUUCCUCCAUUUGGGUUAGAUAAGGACCAAUGAGAGGUACAUAUUAUUAUCCACGUUUUACAGAAGAGAAAACUGAAGUUUAAAGAGUUUAAGUAAUUUUCCAAGAUGGUAGCUACUGAAUGCUGAGAUGGAGACAACCCGUGGCUUCUUGCCUCCCAGGCUUACCACAGUGCUCUACGGCCUCAGCUAAAAUAUCUCAAUGUUUAAAGAACAUAAAAGGUUUUCUUUUUGCUCAGUGUCAUAAAAGUGAUGACUCAUCCAACACUGGGUCAAAAAUCAAUCACCAUUCCUAACAUAAGGUAUCUGAAACAUGUAUUUUACUGAAUAUUGGAAACCUCACGUGUUUGUGUAUUUGGGUUCACCCAUAUAUGGUAACUAGUGACCAAGUAAUCAUCUGGCGCCCUGAGUAUUGGCAAACAUCUACAGGAUAAGGCUGUCUUUAAGUCAAAUAAAUUUGGAAAGUUUCAAGUCACCAAGUCUGCAUGGUCAUCUGCUCAACUCAUUUAUAAA